UUGACCUCGAAUCAGGUAGGGAUACCCGCUGAACUUAAGCAUAUCAAUAAGCGGAGGAAAAGAAACCAACCGGGAUUACCCUA
rnacentral:rRNA from 6 species